AAAACAGACCGAAUAAAACAGCACAGACUGAAGUCCACAACAAGAGUGAUUGUGUGGAGGAAGAGGAGGACAGAUCUGAUAUAGAAUCUGGCUAUCAGACUAUGGACGGUGACCAAACUAAAAAAAACCCUCCAGACAGCACGGUAACAUUUGAAUAAAAUCUGUUUGCUGUUUCCAGAGAUCAGCACUACACUCAUAGAGCAGAUUCUUUACCACCCAGUUGUCCUUCUGUGAAGAGUGAUGUCUCUAAAGAAGAGCCUCCAUUCUUCAGUAAUGAACCUGGACCCUCAGACUCAAAAGAUCAGCACUACACUCAUAGAGCAGAUUCUUUACCACCCAGUUGUCUUUCUGUGAAGAGUGAUGUCUCUAAAGAAGAGCCUCCAUUCUUCAGUGAUGAACCUGGACCCUCAGACUCAAAUACUCAGGAGCAGCUGACCUGCUGUUUGUGUCAGGACGUACUGAAGGAUCCAAUCUCUACCAGCUGUGGACACUGGUUCUGCAGACAGUGCAUCACCUCAUACUGGGACCAGUCGCCUUCAUCAGAAGACUCC